GGUCUCUCAGAGAAGAUACUUGACCAUGACUAGUGUCCUUAUCAAAAAAGGACACAAAGAACUUCGAGUUCCUUUCCCUCAUCUGAGGACCCAGCAAGAAGGUGCCACAGGUCCUGCCUGCACUGGCUGCUGACCCCAGACUCUCAGAAUCCACAGACUUGAGGAGUAAAACAACAGAAACGGAAACUAAAGCAGAUAGUUUGGCUAGUUGUAAAAUUCCACGUUCACAGCCUGUCAGCACUUCGCAUGAAUACGACAUCCCAUCGUCUUCUCGCCUCCACGCUCAUAUGUGGAAGUGAGAACAGCCUUUGGGGGUCUGCUGUCGCCCUCUGUCGUAUGAGUCCCGGGGAUCAAACUUAGGUGGCCACUAUCAAUGACAAGUGUCUUUAUCCACUCAUCAGCCCUGAUGAACUUUUUCAAAUAAAUGACUUUUUUAUCAAAAUAAUAAAGUUUUCAGCUAUUAUUUUUUCAGACACUUUUCUUCUCUAUUUUUCUCCCCUGCUUCUAGAAUCCUUGUUAUUCACAAGUGGGUUCUUGACAGCAUCACAUAGGUCUCUGAAGUUGUUCUUUGUCCUUCAUUCUUUCCUCUUUGCUUUUCAGGCUGAACAGUCUACCACUGUGUCUCCAAAUGCAACAACUCUCUCUUCUUCCAACCUCAAUUUGUUUUCAAG